GAAGUACCAAGGACCGAGGAAGGCAGAUUUGCUUGUCCGUUACUUAAAGAAGUUUGUUGCUCCGAUCCAAAUAUUGCUUGCCUUAUGUGUUAUGUUAUAGACAUGGAACAUAGGAAUGUGGUUCUUUUGUUUUAAUAGGACUUGUAGCAAAGGGAUGACCAUAUAUUGAAUGAUUGUACAUCUUGUUUCAAACAAAACUAAAUCGGGUAUUGUUGGGAAGAAC